rnacentral:rRNA from 1 species
AGCUCUCCGAGUGGUGUGGAUGUUUAUUGGGCCUAAAGCAUCCGUAGCUGGCUAAGUUAGUCCCUUGUUAAAUCCACCGAAUUAAUCGUUGGAUUGCGGGGGAUACUGCUUGGCUAGGGGACGAGAGAGGCAGACGGUAUUUCCGGGGUAGGGGUGAAAUCCUAUAAUCCCGGGAAGACCACCAGUGGCGAAGGCUGUCUGCUAGAACGCGCCCGGCGGUGAGGGAUGAAAGCUGGGGGAGCGAACC